rnacentral:rRNA from 1 species
GACGAACGCUGGCGGCGUGCCUAAUACAUGCAAGUCGAACGCUUCUUUCCUCCCGAGUGCUUGCACUCAAUUGGAAAGAGGAGUGGCGGACGGGUGAGUAACACGUGGGUAACCUACCCAUCAGAGGGGGAUAACACUUGGAAACAGGUGCUAAUACCGCAUAACAGUUUAUGCCGCAUGGCAUAAGAGUGAAAGGCGCUUUCGGGUGUCGCUGAUGGAUGGACCCGCGGUGCAUUAGCUAGUAGGUGGGGUAACGGCUCACCUAGGCGACGAUCCCUAGCUGGUCUGAGAGGAUGACCAGCCACACUGGAACUGAGACACGGUCCAG